UCAGUGGCUUCAUAUAGAGCUGAGGCAGGAAUUUGGUAAUUUGAUUGCUGCUGAUGCAAACUUUGAAAACUACUUCUGGAUUUAGAAGCUGACGUACUUGUAGCACCACUAGGAGAGAUUUCAGAAUCCCUGGUCUGUGAAAGAGCCCUCUCCUCUUCAGCGAGCCGAAACUCAUAGUAUUUGUAGUCUGAACAAGUCAUGUCAAAUAAAAAUUUAAAUGGUGUGUCUCCAGGGUUCU
rnacentral:misc_RNA from 1 species